rnacentral:rRNA from 1 species
UGCCAGCCGCCGCGGUAACACGGGGGGCGCAAGCGUUAUUCGGAAUUAUUGGGCGUAAAGGGCGCGUAGGCGGACGGGAAAGUCUUUCGUGAAAUCCCACAGCUCAACCGUGGAACUGCGGGAGAUACUGCUCGUCUUGAGUUCGGGAGAGGAGUGUGGAAUUCCCAGUGUAGCGGUGAAAUGCGUAGAUAUUGGGAGGAACACCGGUGGCGAAGGCGGCACUCUGGACCGAUACUGACGCUGAGGCGCGAAGGCGUGGGUAGCGAACGGGAUUAGAUA